ensembl:lncRNA novel transcript
ACAAUGGUCUGUAAGUGGUCUAUCAAGUGCUGAGGACACAGGACACAUGAACCUUUAUUCUAGGAGUCCUUGGGGGAGCUUCUCAUUUAGUGCCAUCCUUGGUACUUCCUACUUUCCCCAACCUUAAAGGGGAUGUUAGGCCCCUGAGUGAGGGUGGGAUUCACCCUUGUCUUGCCUGGUACAGUGGAAGGCCCUGCCAGGCUUAGGUCUUGGACCACACACUGUGUUAAACCUGAGCUGUGGGAGACACACAACUACGCAGUGACAAGUGCCAGGAAGGUGGCUGUUGAGAGCUCUGCGGGAGUCCCGAGAAGAAUCCCCAGCGGUCACUAGAGGCCUUGACGAAAGAGAUUUCCAGGAGACUCAGCAUAGAUGUUGAAUCUUCCUAUUGGAGGAGAAGCUCCCGACUCCCUUCUAGUCAUGGCAGAGCACGGAAUUCAGAACAAUUCUACUGGUGAGGACAAGGCCUCUAUUGUAGUCAGAGUCCUCUCAAAGGACAAAAGCAGAUAUGGCUGCCUUGGAUCAGCUGCACGCAGUGCACUCCCGACCUGGCCGCUGGAGGCGCGGCUCCCAUCACCUGCACCGCGACUGCUAGGGACUGUCAAAGCGGCAGCAUGCCAUCGCCUUCUCCAGCCCUUCUCCAGCAGCACAACCAGUCCUCCCAGCUGGUCCUCUGAGGACCAGCCGUCAUGGCGACGUGGUGGCAAUGUCCCCAGGCAGCCGACCAUCCUGGGCUUCUCUUUGGACAGGCCUGGGCCAGGACCUUAGGGGAUCUCUGUGUCCAUGGUAUAAAUCUGAAUGAGAUCAGACACAAUAUUAUCAAUGAUUGGCUUGGUAA